UGAGUAACGCGUGGGUAAUCUGGCUCUAUCUGGGGGACAACAGUUGGAAACGACUGCUAAUACCGCAUAAGACCACGGAUACGAAGGUAUCAGGGGUAAAAGAUUUUUAUUGGAUAGGAGAUGAGCCUGCGUUUCAUUAGCUAGUUGGUGGGGUAAAGGCCUACCCAAGGCGACGAUGGAUAGCCGAUCUGAGAGGAUGACCGGCCACACUGGAACCUGAGACUACGGUCCAGACUCCUACGGGAGGCAGCAGUUGGGAACUAUUGGGCAAUGGAGGCAACUCUGACCCAGCAACGCCGCGUGAAGGAAGAAGGUUUUCGGAUUGUAAACUUCUGUAAUAGAGGAAGAAGAAAGUGACGGUACUCUAUUAGAAAGCUACGGCAAACUACGUG
rnacentral:rRNA from 1 species